rnacentral:lncRNA from 1 species
CUUCCUGGACAUAUCCUGGACCAGGCUUUUCUGCUGAAGCACCACUGUGUGAGGAAGCCAUCAGAUCUGUGCACCAUUAAUGUGAGUGGCCUGAAGUUCUCCAAGGUGAGGUCAGCCAGCAAAGAUGUGAUUGGGGUGAGCCAGACUUGAGGUGGCGCACCUGGCUGUUGUGGUUUGUCUCUUGCACCUCCAGAGUCCCUAGGGACUGGAAAUCUGGUCACGAAGAAGGAGGGAGAGGAGAGUCAGACAAGGAUUUAUUGGGUUGAAACAAUAUUCAGACACAAACUUUUGCUACAAAUUUUAUAUUGCCCUUGUCCUAUUUGAUAUGAAUUAAAGAAAAUUGCCUUAUGGGCCAGGCGUGGUGGCUCAGGGCUGUAAUCCCAGCACUUUGGGAGGCCGAGGUGGGUGGAUCACAAGGUCAGGAGCUCAAGACCAGCCUGGCCAAGAUGGUGAAACUCCAUCUCUACUAAAAAUACAAAAAAUCAGCCAAGCAUGGUAGCAGGCACCUGUAAUCCCAGCUACUUGGGAGGCUGAGGCAGAGAAUUGCUUGAACCCCUGAGGCAGAGGUUGCAGUGAGCCAAGAUCGUGCCAGUGCACUCCAGCCUGGGUGACAGUGAGACUCUGUCACCAAAAAAAAAAAGAAAA